UUAUAUGGGGGAUGAAUGUUGAUUCCAGAGAGUUACUCACUCGCAUGGUCGGAGGUUAUAAGAAUGUAUACCAUGCAAUUAUUAUUAAGGACUAGACUACUUGCACGAGAAUGGAAUUAUGCACAGAGAUAUUAAGAAGCAACUUCCUUGAUGAGAACUGUUUGAUGGAGAAAGAAACUCCCUUCUUUCAUCAACUGAACAGGAUUGACAAACAUUAUCCUCGUCUUAGCAAGUUAUUACUGAUGAUGACUCUUUUUUAAUCGAGAU